rnacentral:lncRNA from 1 species
UUUCUUCCUCCAGUCGAUGCUAUCCGGGACAUUAAUCAGGUUUUCAUAUCGAAACCUUUUAAUUUUAUGUGAAACAUUUUUAGAAGAGAACAUGUAUCCAGCAAAGUUCGUUAGGAAUUCUUCAUUGGUUAAGUCAGCAAAUUCAUUGGUACUUAACUUAUAAGUUUGAUUCCCCAUUUUAUUGAAGUUUUCUAUGAAUUCCAGAUUGUUUUUGAAUAUCUGAAAACGCAUAGUCUCCUCUUCCUGCAUCUCAUAGGUUCGUCCAUGCUCAACCAUCCAUUGCUUGUAUUUCUCAGCAACGAAGGCUUCAUCCAAUAUGCGGGACAUGGCAGAUGCCAGAGCCCCAGAAACAGUCAACAUGAAAAUAAGAAACUUAGUUUUGAGUGCGAAAGCCAUUGCUCAAUG